GCCUAUAAAUAGAGUAUAUCUCUUUUUAUUUUCAUCACUCACACCAAUAAGCCAAAACUCUUAAGAAUCAUUCUCGAAACACUUUUCAUCACUAGACUAAAAAUUACCUGAAGCUUCCAUAUACUCUUAUCUUCCAUCACCUUCUCUUGUAUUUACACUUAUCCUUUCUUAAACACUAAAGUCAUCGCUUGAAAAUUUCCUUGUAGCCAAGACAUAUGUUGUUGCCAUCUCAUCUCUUUCAUUUCAAUAUUCAAUAGCUCCAUAACUAUUUUCAUGUUCAUUUCGCCACAUUAAAUUGUUGGUAAGUUUCCACAUUAAAUCAUAGUUUCCUUUUUCAAGUGUUAUUCAAAACUCUAAAAGUUUUGUUGUUUUAUUCUUUUUGACCAUACACUACCUUAGCCCUAAUAUUACUAUCACCACUACCAUCAUUAUAAUUAUCUUUUCAACAUUACCCUAUACCACCAUACAUCAUCAUCAAGAUUUGGGUCAUCACAAAGUGAUUUGGUUUGCACCUGGCUGAAAUAUAAAAAAAAAGAAUUUCAAGAUUUGGAGCACUAAUAUAUUUCUCAUAGGGUCUAUAUUCCUUUUUGGGAGCUAAGGAUUUCGUGGGAUCAAGCAUACAUUAAUUCUCAGAGUCACUCCUGCAAUCAAGCUAGAUUCUCCACAUUCGAGGUAAGGAAAUUAAGUAGAAAAACAUAAGUUUUCUGUAUGUAAUAACAUUCAUAGAAAGAGUGGGAAUAGUAAAAGAGAAGUUAACUAAGGUCUUCUGCCUAACUCUUUAUUGUCUGUUAUUUAA